rnacentral:rRNA from 1 species
AACUUGACAUGUAUUGUGUCCUAUGUGAAAACAUAGUAGUUCUGCCUUGUGCAGGACGCUUUACACAGGUGGUGCAUGGUCGUCGUCAGCUCGUGCCGCAAGGUGUCUAGUUAAGUCUGGAAACGAGCGCAACCCUCAUCUUUAGUUAGAAUGUCUAAAGAGACUGCUUCGGUAACGGAGAGGAAGGAGAGGAUGACGUCAGAUCCUCAUGCCCCUUACGUUUAGGGCUUCAUAGAUAAUACAAUGGGUGAUACAACGAGAAGCAAUACCGUGAGGUGGAGCAAAUCUUUAAAGUUAUCCCUAGUUCGGAUUGUAGUCUGGAAUUCGACUACAUGAAGUUGGAAUUGCUAGUAAUGGCAGGUCAGAUAUACUGCCGUGAAUAUGUCCCUGUUCCUUGCACUCACCGCCCGUC